rnacentral:rRNA from 1 species
CUUCUUCGACUCCACGAGGUCGGUCGCUAGGAGUGGCUGGUAAUAGCUCUUCCGCCUCCACGUCGUUUUUUGAUUAACUCUUUUCCAGGAGGCGAGUUCCCCGAGUUCCAUCUUUAUUUCAAUGUUUUUCCUUUGAACCAUGUACUCACAAUCUUGCUCGGUGGAGUAGUAUACUUAAAGAAAGACAACAACAGUAUAUAUUGAGACCCAACGACAGAAAGAACUGGAAUAAAGGGGUGGAAACUUUAUUGAAGAAACGUUUGAUUUUAGUCUAGAACCGUACCUCCAAGACUAAAGUCGACACCACCCACUAGAACAGUCGGCCAAGUAGAGAAAGGACCGCGUUUUAAUACCGUGAGUUUGUACACACCUCCUCCUGGCAUCUUCCGACCUUGCGUAGAAUGAUUCCUACGUGUACCAACAACUCCUUCGUCUCCCCGCCGUUUAGUGUUUAGCUCCCUACAAGGACGUAGACUUCUGUGAGUAGCUACCACACGUAGAGCCCAUGAUGUACGAACUGUCCGAGUUCAAGGUUAGGGAACCUCUUCUCUCGCAACUUCUACUACUCCACUCAUUGACCUCGGUCAGAGAACGGCAAAGAUGAAAAUCGCGGCGGUUCGCAGAAGCAGAACGACAACGACGAAGAUAUUACUUCUUGCGUGGUCAUCGUAAACCAUGACCCUCGUGCUGUUUAAACUUUUCCCAAGAACUUUCAAAUCUCCGGUUCUGACGUCUAUACUCUCUCAAGCAGCACGAGGAGCCGUCGACGGGAGCAGAAGGAGCAGUCGGUAUGACACACGUGGAUAUGUACCUAUUCACGUACAAACCAGCGGUGCAACUCUUUCUCGUUGAGUAGUUGAAGAACGAUACACUACUGUCAGUAGUGCUAACGUGUGUAUAAUCGUAGGACGGCUAGUAGCCGGGUGUGUCUUAGCCCUUCUUUUGAGACCACGUCGUACGAACGUUCCUACUCUCCCACACGUUAGUAAAGAGGGUGUACAAAAAGAAGUUUCCUCUACUAGAUGCCUUGCCUCAUAAACGUAAAUUGUUGGUCCGUCGGAGUCCCUUCAUGAACAAACAACACCUAAAGUAGAAGCUACACCUACUCCGUCGUACCUGUUUGAAGGUUAGUAUAGACGUCUUCAACGGUCCACGACCCUAGUUUUAACAUCACUGUCCGUCUCGUCUCGUUCAACGUUUGAACCCCUGACGAGUUGGCUAGUCCGACUUCUCAGACAGAGUUCUUCUCAUGACCAUGAUGAAGUUCCGUGAACGGAAGCCUUCGUACCUAGGACUACUAGUAGGCUUUGACCGUAGAAACCCGUACGUUGAUCGCCGCGAGGAUGUCCCUAGUAAAGAACCACGUUUGUAUGAGCCGCUCGAUGAUUCUCGAUUAGGUUCGUGUCUUAAGACCGCGCCUCAUAAUAGCUCGUAUUCUCAUGAACAAGCGCUCGUGUACAGCAGGAAGCCGUGCGUGGGCCUCCUGGAGGAACCAUCUUUAAAAGGACACUUAAAGCCGUCACGCCGGAACCACCCACCAGGCCGAGUCCCUAUGGACCACAUACUAGAAUCCCUCCGACCGGGACGAGUUUCACUCGACGGUUUUGACUGUAGCGUUCUUGAUGACUGUCCGGCACUAUAUGGACAACUUCUGUUCAAACUCCACGAUCAUACCUCUAGAGCCUAGGGCGGAAUGACGCUGAUGCAACAAUGAAUGCUUUUUGUCUUCUUAGUACACCGUCACUCUUUUGCAGUCGCGUUUUCAAUUAGACCGUUUGUCUUCACGUGUUUCCUCAAUCUAGGGGAAGGAAUAUCAAAUCAUUUAAUAAUAAGGGACAAAAAACUCUUGGAUAAUAAGCAAAAGGAUAUAUGACUAUAUGAUACACACAUACGUGAAAAAUCUACCCCAUACACUUCACGUCACUCAAUGACAACGAUCGGACUCAACACACAUGCAUUAUCUUCGGGAGCACAUUCCUUUGACGAAUUUUGAACACUGAUGACACAGACACACACUGGUAAAGUUACAUUGAGGGGUCACACACAACCACCGAUCAACCGAAAUCGGUGUGGUUCAAGGUGCAUCAGAAACAUGCGUCGUGAACGGAAGGAACUGACGGUGUCAUGUCGAACUAGCAUAG